rnacentral:rRNA from 1 species
GACAAACGCUGGCGGCGUACCUAAGACAUGCAAGUCGAACGGAGCUCCGUGCUUCGGCGUGGAGUUGAGUGGCGAACGGGUGAGUAACGCGUAGGAACCUGUCGUUGAGUGGGGGAUAACGCCGGGAAACUGGUGCUAAUACCGCAUACGGUUGUGAGGUGAGAGCCUCAUGAGUAAAGCAGCAAUGCGCUUGAUGAGGGGCCUGUGUCCGAUUAGCUUGUUGGUGGGGUAAAGGCCUACCAAGGCGACGAUCGGUAGCUGGUCUGAGAGGAUGGUC